AGUGACGCCAGGGAUUGAACUCACAUCCUCAUGGAUACUAGUUGGGUUCCUCACCACUGAGCCACAAUGGGAAUUCCUGAGACACAAGUUUUGAUAUAUCUCUUCAGUUUGAUAAUUCCUCUAUAAGGAAUUUUUAAUUUGACACAUGAUUAUUUUCUGAUUUAUUGGCUCUAAAUUUAGUUAUGUACCAUAUUAAACUUGAGCACAAAAAUUGCAGAAUGCAAGUAUGUAGCUGCUGAGCUAAAUUUCUACUAAUUCUGGACUUCCUCUGGGACUCUGUGUGGUUUCCUGAUGUGAGUUAACUCCUCUGGGACUCUGUGUGGUUUCCUGAUGUGAGUUAACUCCCCCAAGCUCCACAGUAAGACCAGCCCCACUCUUCUGGGGGGAUUGCUGGUGGGCUGGCUCGUUAAUUGUGGAACCACAGAAAUGCAUAGCCUCUCCAUGCCAAACUUGACUAUGGAAAAAACUUUGGGGGUGUAUUUUGGAAUCUAUCUCCCCUUUCCUUGUAGCCCCAAACUUCAUAAGAGAUACACCAUCUCUAGCUUCAGGAGUGGGGAGCGGAGGUGAGAUGACAGCGUUAGCAGGAUGAACCCUUCACACUUGCUCCCACGCUCUUUUCCUAAAAUGUCCUGCCUCUUCCCCCAUCUGUUUUAUAUCUCCUUUUCCUUCCAGGGAGAAGGCCCCAUUUUAUGAGUUUGCAUAGUUCUCCAGUUACUUUGCCUGCCUCAUAGUUGUCAGGGUGUCCUAGAAAACAGCAUUUUAGAAUCCAGGCUUUAUGCUCAUCAGCUUAUACAGGGUGGUGCUGGGCUGGAAAAUAGAGCAUGCCAUUGGAGGCUUCAAGUUUAGCAUGCUAACAGAGAUCUUCUGCCUAUCCUAUUUAAUGGGUUUUUUUUAAUGCAUAGGUUUUUUUUUUUUCUUUCUUUUUUUGCUCUUUAGGGACAUACCUAUGACAUAUGGAUAUUCCUAGGCUAGGGGUUGAAUUGGCACUGCAGCUGCCAGCCUAUGCCACAGCAACUCGGGAUCUGAGCUGCAUCUGUGACCUACACCACAGCUCAUGGCAACGCUGGAUUCUCAAUGCACUGAGUGAGGUCAGGGAUUGGACCGCAUCCUCAUGGAUACUAGUCAAAUUUGUUAACUGCUGAGCUGCAAAGGAAAAUCCUGUAAUGCUUAGUUUUUAAUAGGUCACUGCUCAGUCACUCUGAGCAGAGCAGGGCAAGAGAUUCAAGUGGGGGAGGGGUCUCCUCAGUGGAGUGAACACUGUCAUGUGACAAACUUCUGAGGAAGUCCUAAUUCAGGGAACCCCACCUCUUCACUCUAGGACUCCUGUUCUCUGCUUUCUGAGGGUAUCACAGAUGAGAAUACAACUAUGCAGUGGUCCUAGAAGAUUUUGUGGAAGUGAGUGCUGUACCAACACCCCUGCUUCUCUCACCUGCAGAGGCCCAACAGUUCUCAGGCACAGUCUGAUUUCCCUUCCACCAACACUGGGGUCUGAGGGAAAUAGGAGGCCCAAGGAGUCACUCAGCAGCAUGAGGGGCCUUGGCUGUGGCUACUGGGGAAACUCAUUCUAUGCUGCACAGAAGGACAGACAACUCAUGGGGCAAAAGUGCUGGGAAUUUUGAACAAUAGGACUUGUGUUCAACAAAGGGGACAGGUUGUGGGGGGCAGGGAUGGACUGGGGGUUUGGGAUUGAAAUAUACAUACUGUGGUGCAUGAAUGAUUGGCCAAAGGGGACCCUCUGUAGAGCACCAGGAACUCUAGCCAAUAUUCUGUGAUCAUCUGUGUGGGAAAAUAAUCUGAAAGAGAAUAGAUGUUUGUGCAUAUAUAACUGAAUUACUCUGUUGUACAGCAGAAAUGACCACAACCUUGUAAAUCAACUAGACUUUGACAAAACUUUAAAAAAUGAAAAAAAAAAGACUUGCAAUACUUGCUUUCAACAAUAAGAAGAGUUUAUUUAUUCACCUACUUGUUCACUCACUUAUUUGUUAUUUACUCAUCAAAUAAGUGUUAAGCUCCUGGCAGAGCCACAUGUUGGGGUGAGAAGGGAAAGACUGAUGAGGCCCCCCAGCAAUGUUAAUAGUGAUUUCCCCUAUGUGCUUAGUUAUGAGUGAUUUUCAUUUUCUUCUCUUUGUCAGAGUUUCCAAAGUGAGGACAUUGUUUUUAUUAUUAGGAUAAAAACAAUAAAUAUUUUUCCUGGCUGAUAUUUAAAAAAAAAUGUCUAAGAAUGGGAUGGAACAGAUAGACUUUAGCUAGAGAGAGAUUUGGGGUUAAGGGUAAGUCUCCAACAUGCACUAAGUUUGGUCUUGCGUAUAGGCAGAGAAAAAGAAGGCAGUGGUGAGAAAGAAGUGUAAGAUUGGAGGUUCCCAUUGUGGCACAGCAGAAACAAACCUGACUAGUAACCAUGAGGAUUCAGGUUCAACCCCUGGCCUCGCUCAUUGGGUUAAGGAUCUGGUGUUGCUGUGAGCUAUGGUGUAGGUUGCAGAUAUGGCUCAGAUCUGGUAUUGCUGUGGCUGUAGCUGGCAUCUGUAGCUCCAAUUCAACCCCUAGCCUGAGAACUUCCAUAUGCUGCAAGUGUGGCCCUAAAAAGCAAAGGAAAAAAAAAGAAGAAGAAGAGUAAGAUUGCCUAAAUGUCAUAGGGUUCCCAAAGAGGAAAAAGGGGUUGGGGUACAGAAUAGAACAGAGAGAGUCACUGCAGACAGGAGGAAAUACCAUUGCUGUAUAGAAAUGAGAGGGAAAAUGGGAGGAUCGAUAUAAGGAGAUAAAUUUUACUUUUUAAACCCCAAACACUGGCAAAGCAAAGCAAGGUCAGGGACUAGGACACACUCAAAUCUGCUUUUGUCUGUGAAUAGGCAUCAACUCAUACAGAGUCAGAAAACCCACUUGCAGAAGCUGUGUUAGUGACUCAUUUUCCUUGUGAAGUAGGUAAGGAUGUCAACCCCAAAGGGAGGGAGAAGCAGCAGGACUGAAUUCUUGAAAAGACUGAUGAAGAUAGGGAACAGCCUCAAAUGGAAUGUGGCCAAGAAUUUUCCAUCAGCAUUGAAAACCCAACUGGGAUCCCAAGCCCUAAAUAUGUAGGAGUUCAAAUUCUCUCAUCUCAUAGUCAUUUGUGAAAUCUUCUUAUACAAUGGCACUUAGCAACUUGAGAAUGGAGCCAAGAAGGUGAAGAGCUGGAUUGGUCCAGAGCUGGAAUAUUUCCAGAAAGCCAAAAUAGGAAAGGAGUUUGGUUUUUAAUAAAGGUAUGACUUAAGUGAUGGUAUAAUAAACAGGAAGGAAAAUAGAAAGUGAAGGAAUGAGCUACACUGGAAGACUCAUUUAGGCUGAAGAAUAAGCUCAGCAGGAAAAAGGGAAUGAGAAAGCAAGGUGGACAAGAAAGCAGUGCCCUGAAAUGUAGGAAGGGCUCAGUGGGGACAGGAUGCUGGACAGGGCUACGGGAGGAGAUGGGGGAAGCAUGGUGGAAAUGAAAGUUAUGAAAAAAAGAAGAGUUCAGGGAACAGAGAGGAUGGGAGAGCCCUCAAGAUAAUAACAACCAGGAUCCCACAUAGCCUUGUUUCCUGCCCAAGAAAGGAAGAUAGCUGUUUCUGAAAUAUUGCUCAAGAAAAACCUGAGCUUGUCUCUUAUUCAUGUCUGGAAACUUAAGUUGCACAGCACAUGGCCUGAGACCUCUUCAAUGCUAAAUAAAUCUUUGUUGAAUGAAUAAAUAACCUAGUGAUUUUGAAAUUUUGUUUCUCCAAUCCAUGUAUUUCCCCUAUGAGACAAAGUCAAUGGUAUUCCUUUGUUAUCCACCAAAGAAAGGAUUGACCGUAAGUGAAGCUUAGGCUGUGCAGAAGUUAUGAGUGAUCCUGGCUUUAGAAGAGGCUUAUGAUCCUGGCUUAACUCUUUGUGACUGUCACCAUUAUAUGGAUGCUCUACUUAAACCUAGAAUAAAAAAGACUGUGACCUGAGUCAACCUGUGCAAAGUUUGUGUUUUCCAUGAAAUAUUUUCAUGGUCUUGGCCUUAAAUAUCUGGAAAUGUAGGGCAGUAAUUAGGAAUAGAGCCAGGUCAGGGUCUUUGUGUCACAUCUGCACCCCAUAUCCCUUUAUUGUUGAGAGGACAAUUCCUGCAUUUGGUUCCAUGGAGUAGGGAGACAGUCUUGCACCUCCUGAUAUUUAGCUUCCUUGCCCAUAUGUUCACUGCUUACCAUCAGGGCUGAUGAGCAGGCUCCUGCCCAAUCUUCCAUAUACUCCUCAUUAUCAGGCUGGAGAAGCUAGAAUAGGAACUGCCAGCAAUGGCCUCUUAGCCAUGAGAUCCCACAGGAGUAGCGGAGAUGAGCUGGGAUCAGUCAUUUAAAGAGAACUGGUCCAGGUGGACUGUUGGGCCUUUGGAGAUGCAGUCUGAAGAAGGAGCCUCUGGCUGAACUCUAACGAGCCCUGGACACCUUUUCCAAAGAUGAAGAUGAGCAAACAUAAGCCUCUCCAUGUUGUCUGUUUGGCAACAGAUAGGAGGCCUGAAGGCAAAGGCAAAUGUGUCUGGGCACAUUUAGCUUCUUGACUAGUCAAGUUUAUUCUAGCAGAUCCUGCUGACCUACAUGUACCAGUCACCCAGCUGGUUUUCACAGCUACCACCCCUCAGUAUUCAUCCCCAAUUUCUUUUUCUUUCUUUUUUUCUUUUUUUUUUUGCUUUUUAGGGCCAUACCUAUGCCAUAUGGAAGUUCCCAGGCUAGGGGUCAAAUUGGAGCUGUAGCUGCUGGCCUAAGCCACAGCCACAACAACAUGGGAUCCAAGACACGUCAGUGACCUACACCACAGCUCACUGCAACACCGGAUCCUUAACCCACUGAGCAAGGCCAGGGAUCAAACCUGCAUGCUCAUGGAUAUUUGCUGGGUUCGUUUCUGCUGUGCCACAAGGGGAACCCCUUCAUCCCCAUUCUUGACCUUACUUCUCUGAUACUUGACCUCCUGGAGCUAUUUUGUCUUGCCUUGGCUUAGCUCCUCUUGCCUGUAAUUUCAUUGGCUCCUUUCUCAGUUUUCGAUAUUUGGCUUAUUCUUUCUGGCAUGUUUAUUUCCAAUCUCCAGCUCGUUGGGGAUGGUAAUGGCGUGGAUAAAGUGAGAGCAGGAGCUGACUUGGUCCAGGAGGUUCUUUACUUUACUGUGAGGAUCUCAUUGAUAUUCUAGUUAGGAAGAAUGGGUAGAAUUUAACACCAGACUUAAAUUACUGUACAUAAAUAUGGUCACUUUUCUAGUCUUUUGUAGUAUAUGCUGUCAAUAUAGUGAAAAUAUACAACCUGAAAUUUGAGAGUUUAGUUUUAUUUGGGGCAAAAUUAGGUCCUAAGCCGCAAGCCAGCAUCUCAGGUAGCUCUGUGAAACCCCUAGAGGCAGUGAGGGAGAAACUAGGAUAUAUGGGAGUUUUAACAAGGGCAGGGAGCAGGAACAAAAGAGGCCCGGGCUCACGGAAAUCAUUCCUUUGAUGUGCACCUCUGCAAUCAGAGCCAGUAUCCUGAGGGACAUUCACAGAUAACCUGACAUUCUUUAUCCUUAGCUACAGAAGGGCUGAAAUACCACCCCAGGAGGAAAAGGGGGAAUGUCAGGAUGUGAUAAAGGUGAGGGGGAGGUGCCUGCAGCAUACACACAUUUUACAAAAAUUUGUUGCUGAUCUCCUGAAGGUUACUACCAGUCACAAGGAGCAAACAUCACCACCAGCAAGGAUUUUAAUGUUUUUCUAGAUAUGAGGAGAUGCAAGAAUUGGGCACAUAAAAUCUAAAAAUACCUGACUAUCCAAAGACCUGUUCUUCCAGUUUCCCAGAGCGCAGAGUGCCUCAUUCCUGAUGUUCACCCUGAGGUCUGCUCAGGGGGUGUUGUGGGUUGGCCACUGCAGUGGCUCAUAAUUUAGUCCAUGUAGAGGCUGAUGGCAAGUGUUAAACUUCAGUUCACAAUGCCUAAUUCACAAGUGUUUGGAAAGCAUUCUCAAGGCGUUCAGUAGACUUGUUAACAUAACCUGGGGGGCAUCUGGUUUCACUCUCUCGGCUGCAGAGUGUGUUGUGUGUUAUUGCCCAUAGGUUUCUGACCAGCCAUCUGCUCGCUAGCAUACCCCUGCCUUUGGGAUACAGAGCAACUGUUGCAUUUUAUUACUUUUUUUUUGUUUGUUUUUUUGUGUUUUCUUGAGCCGCUCCCAUGGCAUAUGGAGGUUCCCCCUAGGGAACCCGGUCUACAUGUCUGCAACCUACACCACAGCUCAUGGCAAUGCCAGAUCCUCAACCCACUGAGCAAGGCCAGGGAUCGAACCCACAACCUCAUGGUUCCUAGUCGGAUUCAUUAACUACUGCGCCAUGACGGGAACUCCCAUUUUAUUACUUUUAUCUUUUUGGAUCCAGAUAGGUGAUGUUCAACUCAGUGCAAAUCUAGUCUUCUGAGAUUCUUUUUUCUGAAAACUUUGGGUCUUUAAAGAGAAUUUUCAACUGAGCUCAGCUCAGAUGGUCCCUCUCCUAGUUCUUGCUAUGGAUGGCCUCCUGGAGGGCAGCUUAGACACACAUCUUACCCCUGCAGUUCUGCUUUCGUCUGUGUUUUUACUUUUCUGCCCUGGCACGCAUUUUUUUUUUUCUAUAAUCUUAUAGCAACAGAACAGAAUCAGUCUGCCUCAGGCAAUUUGGAAUUACCACAGGGCAAAAACAAAGGGGCUUUUUGUUUUGUUGUUAUGGCAUGUUCAGGAUUUCACUAGUUGGUCUAGUAAUAAAUUCUACAUAUUUAAAUAUUUUAGGUGUUUAAAUCUAUUUUCCAUGUUAUCUUCUCAACAAUGACUUUUACUUUCAUCAUAUCAUUCUAUAUAUGACCUUUAAAAAUCUUUCCUGCUCUCAACACUUGCUUAUCCCUAGAAAAAGGAACCAAAGAUUUAAUGUCAAUAAUUUAUAUCUGUUGAUUGAUAGUUUGUGUUUUUUUCUGAAACUCAUUUACUUUAGAGCAUUACUUCAAUUAGCACAUGUCUUUUAGGACUUUCACUCUAAUUAAAAAAUUGAAAGCUUUUUAUUUUUGUUCUUAAACAAUUUUAGGUAACAGCUAGGAUGAGGAGGUAAAAUGUUGACACCACUUCAGGGUAACAACCAAUUUGGUGCUUGAAGCAUCGGUAACCAGGUAGGGGUUCAGAUGGUAAAGGAUAAGUGAUACAGGGAUGGCCAGGUUAUCUUCCAGGGUGUUCCUUACACCCCCAAGGGAGAUAAGGUCACUCGUUUCCUUGGAGGAUGUUGCAAGUCUUUAAUUUGCCACCAGAUCCUUCCAGAACGGAGAACUACUUGGCUGUAAUGAAGACCCUAUGUCAGAAUUUUUUUCAAGUUAUGUAAACCGUCCUCCCCCAAAGAUAUGUGGAAAUUGUAACCCCCUUGACCUGGCAUCUAUGAAUACAACAUUAUUCGGAAGAGGAGUCUUUGCAAACAUAAUUAAGAUAAAAUGAGGUUAUACUGGAUUAGAUGUGACCUAGUUGGGAAUUUUGGACAUGAAGACACACAGCAAGAGCCAUGUGGUGAUGGGGCAGAGAUAGGGGUUACAUGUCUAUAAUCCAAGUGUUGCUGGGAUAAGGGUAACCACAGAUUAAAAUAAGGCUUCAUUUGAAAAUAAGCAAAGAGACUUCCCACUCUUCCCUUUCUUACUUACUUUAGAAAGAUAUUAAGUAUAAAUUCUUCUUCUCUCCCUUCCAAAUAAAUGUAUGUAAAUUUCUAAAACCUAAAUAAAGCCCUCCAACUCAGCUUUCCGCCCACAGGAAUGUCUUUCUCAAAGAUUUUAAGAGCCAUCUCUUCGAAACACAAUCAUUAAGGAAUCCCUGUUUCCAAUUUUCUUCGGGAGACAACUUCCACAAGCACCUCACUCCUGCCAUAAAAAUAUGGGAAGUUGAAUUUUCCUUCCAAUAAAGCCAAUUAAAACAGACAUGGCCACCUCAGUUUAUGAGGUGAAUCUAGGAUGAACUGUGUGACAAGUGGAGCUAAAUCCUUUUACCAAAAGACUAGUUUACUUGAGAACAUAUAUGAGGUAGGUUGCUAGGCCCUAUAAAGGGUGAGAUUUCUUUCUGUCUUUGCAUUUCCUUAGAGGAUUGCCUGUAAGGGCCUCUCAUUCUUGCUUAAUGCCUAUUCAAUAAUAAAAUGGUUAUGAUCUCUUCUACUUUAUCAAGAGGUUUUCUAGGUUGGAAGAAGAUUUUCUUUUUAAUUCCAUUUUCUUGACAACCAGAAAUCCUCAGAAGCCAGGAAGACACAAGGAAGGAUUUUGUCCUAGAGGCUCUGCUGACAUACAGAAUUCAAACCUCAAGCCUCCAGACCUGUGAAAGAGCACAUCUCUGCUGUUUUAAGCUGCCCAGUUUGUGGUACAGUGUUAUGGCGGCACUUAGGACAGAAAUUCAGCCACCCAAGGCUGGUAAGGCCGCUCUGCUCUGGAAAUGGAGUCUGAGGCUCACAGGCUUCUGUUCUGCCAUCUCGAGGAUGUACCUUUUGGGCUUAUUGUUCAGAUGGAGAUAAAACUACUGAAAUCUUCAUUCCGAUGGCACGGUAGGGCUUACAUCAGUUGUUUCUUAAGGAAGAUUCCUGAAAGCUGUCACAGGAGCUUCUACAGGAGCCUUAAAGAUCACAUAAGCAUGUCUAGUUUCUUGGAAACAUAAUGUUUAUUCUCUAUGGCCCUGUGUACAGCAAAAAACAAACAAACAAAC
rnacentral:lncRNA from 1 species